rnacentral:lncRNA from 1 species
UGGUUGGCAAGCUGUUUGCGUCUGGCUGGUUCUUGGACACAUCUGGGAAAAUGGAAGCUACUGCCUUAACUCAGGUAUUGUUUUUCUUCCUAAGCUUCAGAUUAGUCCACUGGAGGAAAGAGCUACAGGAAGUUCUGGACCACCACGACACAUAAACUACCAUUUGUGGAUGGUGAAAUCUAGAAUUUCUUAAGCUUUAGAUCUAGUGGUGGUUGCGGGCUUGAGUGUAGGCUGGUUGACUGUCUAUGCAUUUUGGUAAAGUUUUCAGAGAGUUGUAUGCCUCCCUCGCUCUUUGCUUUCUCGGCCCACCUAGUCCCACUAUAUGCUUCUGUCUGACAACUGAGCUCACGCAAUUGACAUUCUCUCGCUUCGCUCGCUCGCUCGCAAAUUUCUCCAUCCUAGCGUUCGGCUAUAGAUUGCAACAGCACACUAGCGUGAUUUCGAUUGAUUGACUGAUUUGUGUCUCAACACUAAAGUAAAAGGAAAAUGAUUUUGUUGCUGCAUGACAAGUGGAAUCAUUUUCGAGAGAGCAAUCCACACAACCCGUGCACAAUCUGUGAUGCUGGUACGACCAUUUCGCUUUUCUUUGUUUUUUAUAUUCCCGUGACAUCUCGACUCAUCGAGAGCUCGCUUUUUGUGCAGAGGCUGCACAGACAGAAGAUGAUCAGUGUAAGAGAAGGUUAAGUUAUAUAUCAGUCAUGCAACGUGAAUGCAUUGUCGUGGCAAUGCUCGAGGAUGAUAGCGAUCGAUUGGAGCACACCUGUCAUUCAUCCAUUAUCAAUACAUCACCAUAAAACCAUCAGACGAAACAAAUCAGACAGCGAGGAGUUUAUGCCGCCUGAUCUAAGGUCUGAUGAUCAUCCUUUUCGCAAACUUAUGGUGCCUCACAUGCUCAUGGUCAGCCAUUUGAAGGCGUCGAUAAAGAGGGAGAGAAUAAACAAAGACUUUCCGGCACGACAGACCAGCUCUUCCAUUAAACUUCUGGCUACUG